CGCGAGGGGCAGGCCGAGGGUGCGGAGGUACAAGCUCUUGGAAGAGGUGAUCACUACUAGCUAGCUAGCUAUAUUAAUUACUAUAUAUAUAUAAAGAGAGAGCCAUUACAUGUACAACCAUGCACACAUAUAUAUAUAUAUAUAUAUGCAUGCACGGUACGUAUUAUGAGUAGACAGCAAGCAGCAAGAGCUAGCUGCAAUGUUAAGCUGUUAAUAUGCCUCUUUAAUUAGUACACAGGAGGAAGUUGCUAACUGAUCAUGUGAAUAUCUUCACUCCACUUGAUCAUGGGUUAACGAAGAGUGUUCUCAGAGAUGAGUAGUGUAUAUAUAUGUGUCUUUAUGUGCAUAUCUCUUAAAUUUCAGUAUGCUGGAGAAGAAAGUUUUUUAGUUAAAUAAUUAAUGAACAGCACUUGCUGUCUUGAGCUUAAGCAAAAAAAAAACAAUUAAAGAG
rnacentral:lncRNA from 1 species